CACGUAGGGCGCAAGCGUUGUCCGGAAUUAUUGGGCGUAAAGAGCUCGUAGGCGGUCUGUUGCGUCUGCUGUGAAAACUCGGGGCUUAACCCCGAGCCUGCAGUGGAUACGGGCAGACUAGAGGUAGGUAGGGGAGAAUGGAAUUCCCGGUGUAGCGGUGAAAUGCGCAGAUAUCGGGAGGAACACCGGUGGCGAAGGCGGUUCUCUGGGCCUUACCUGACGCUGAUGCGCGAAAGCUAGGGGAGCAAACAGG
rnacentral:rRNA from 1 species